rnacentral:rRNA from 1 species
UACAGAGGUCUCAAGCGUUGUUCGGAUUCAUUGGGCGUAAAGGGUGCGUAGGCGGCUUGGUAGGUCUGGUGUGAAAGCCCCGGGCUCAGCCCGGGAAGGGCACUAGAAACUGCCAAGCUAGAGUGCCGGAGGGGAGAGUGGAAUUCCUGGUGUAGCGGUGAAAUGCGUAGAGAUCAGGAGGAAUACCGGUGGCGAAAGCGACUCUCUGGACGGCAACUGACGCUGAGGCACGAAAGCGUGGGGAGCAAACAGG